rnacentral:piRNA from 1 species
AUUGAGAAAUAUAGGAACUUU